rnacentral:rRNA from 1 species
AAUCAACGCUGGCGGCGUGCCUAACACAUGCAAGUCGAGCGAGAAAGUGGACUUCGGUCCGCGAGUACAGCGGCGCACGGGUGAGUAACACGUGGGUAAUCUGCCUCGGAGUGGGGAAUAACACCGGGAAACCGGUGCUAAUACCGCAUACGGUCGCGGAGUCUUCGGAUUCCGCGAGGAAAGACUUCGGUCGCUCUGAGAGGAGCCCGCGCCCGAUUAGCUAGAUGGUGAGGUAAUGGCUCACCAUGGCAACGAUCGGUAGCCGGUCUGAGAGGACGGUCGGCCACACUGGAACUGAGACACGGUCCAGACUCCUACGGGAGGCAGCAGUGGGGAAUUUUUGACAAUGGGGGAAACCCUGAUCAAGCAACGCCGCGUGGAUGAUGAAGUAUCUCGGUACGUAAAAUCCUUUCGACAGGGAAGAAGCCUUCGGGUUGACGGUACCUGUAGAAGAAGCCCCGGCUAACUCCGUGCCAGCAGCCGCGGUAAUACGGGGGGGGCGAGCGUUGUUCGGAUUUACUGGGCGUAAAGGGCGCGUAGGCGGUUCGUUAAGUCGGAUGUGAAAACUCUGGGCUCAACCCAGAGCCUGCAUCCGAUACUGGCGGACUAGAGUGCGAGAGGGGGAGGCGGAAUUCCUGGUGUAGCGGUGAAAUGCGUAGAUAUCAGGAGGAACACCGGCGGCGAAGGCGGCCUUCUGGAU